AUGACCUCCAAGUUUAAGAUGUCCAUGAUGGGAGAGUUGAACUUCUUUCUCGGGUUCGAGGUCAAGCAACGAAGAGAAGGAACCUUCAUCAACCAAUCCAAAUACACUCAAGAUAUGCUCAAGAGAUUCAAGCUUAAUGAUGUCAAGUCGGCUUCCACUCCAAUGCCCGUCAAAUGCCAACUUGACUUAGAUCCCAAUGGUAAAGCGGUGUAUAAAAAGGUAUAUCGCUCCAUGAUUGGCUCCUUGCUUUACCUUUGUGCAUCUAGACCGGAUAUCAUGUUGAGUGUGGGAAUUUGUGCAUGGUUUCAAGCCGCACCUAAGGAAAGCCACUUUGUGGUGGUCAAGUGA
rnacentral:rRNA from 1 species